UUACUUGUCACAUGCACUUUGAAACUCUGAAAGACACAGGAAAAUGCCUUGUUCGUGUCGAUGACCAGCACGGUCCGAGGAAGUGUCGCUCCCCCUCCGCAGCCAACAUCGCGUUCCCACAACUUACUAACUGUAACCCGUACGUCUUCGGACUGUGGGAGGAAACCCACGCGGUCACUGGGGAGAAUGUACAAACUCCGUACCACCAGCGGCAGAAGUUGAACCCUGAUUGCGAUCACUGGCGCUUUCUAAUAGCCUCCGAAGAGGUCAUGUCAACCUGACCUCCUGCUGGAAGAACUGAGCGGUCCGAGCAGCAUCCACGGUGGUCUGUUGGACUCGAAGAGGAGAACAAAAGAAAAGAGGAAGUGUUUGUGGUGCUGAUGCAAGGGUUCUGUCCGUGUGUCUGUGCCUUCUAGAUGUUGCCCUGAGACGGACCGGGAACAACAUGAUGAACGACCAGGAGGAGGAGGAGUUCAUCACCGUGAGGGUGCAGGAUCCACAGGUGCAAGAUCCAGGCUCUUGGGCCCCCUAUAUCGAUUAUAAAAUAUUCCUCUAUAUGCUGUCUGACUUUCAGAAUCUCCACUGUUCACUGUGGGAACACACACACACAAAAUGC